rnacentral:rRNA from 1 species
AUUGAACGCUGGCGGAAUACUUUACACAUGCAAGUCGAACGGCAGCACGGACUUCGGUCUGGUGGCGAGUGGCGAACGGGUGAGUAAUGUAUCGGAACGUGCCCAGUCGUGGGGGAUAACGUAGUGAAAACUACGCUAAUACCGCAUACGAUCUAUGGAUGAAAGCGGGGGAUCGCGAGACCUCGCGCGAUUGGAGCGGCAGAUAUCAGAUUAGGUAGUUGGGUGGGUAAAGGCCCACCAAGCCAAAGAUCUGCAGCUGGUCUGAGAGGACGACCGACCACACGGGAACCGAGACACGGACCAGACUCCUACAGGAGGAAGCAGUGGGGAAUUUUGUACAAUGGGCGAAAGCCUGAUCCAGCCAUUCCGCGUGCAGGAUGAAGGCCCUCGGGUUGUAAACUGCUUUUGUACAGAACGAAAAGGUUUCUACUAAUACUAGGAGCUCAUGACGGUACUGUAAGAAUAAGCACCGGCUAACUACGUGCCAGCCGCCGCAGUAA